rnacentral:rRNA from 1 species
AUUGAACGCUGGCGGCAGGCUUAACACAUGCAAGUCGAGCGAGCGGCGGACGGGUGAGUAAUGUCUGGGAAACUGCCUGAUGGAGGGGGAUAACUACUGGAAACGGUGGCUAAUACCGCAUACCAUCAGAUGUGCCCAGAUGGGAUUAGCUAGUAGGUGGGGUAAUGGCUCACCUAGGCGACGAUCCCUAGCUGGUCUGAGAGGAUGACCAUCCACACGGGAACUGAGACACGGCCCAGACUCCUACGCGAGGCAGCAGUGGGGAAUAUUGCACAAUUGGCGCAAGCCUGAUGCAGCCACGCCGCGUGCAUGAAGAAGGCCUUCGGGUUGUAAAGUACUUUCAGCGGGGAGGCGUGACCCGCAGAAGAAGCACCGGCUAACUCCGUGCCAGCAGCCGCGGUAAUAC